rnacentral:rRNA from 1 species
UACGGGGGGAGCAAGCGUUGUUCGGAUUUACUGGGCGUAAAGGGCGCGUAUGCGGCCACCGCAAGUCGACUGUGAAAUCUCCGGGCUUAACUCGGAAAGGUCAGCCGAUACUGCGGGGCUAGAGUGCAGAAGGGGCAACUGGAAUUCUCGGUGUAGCGGUGAAAUGCGUAGAUAUCGAGAGGAACACCUGCGGCGAAGGCGGGUUGCUGGGCUGACACUGACGCUGAGGCGCGAAAGCUAGGGGAGCGAACGGG